rnacentral:lncRNA from 1 species
GAAAAAAUAAUAAUAAUAAAAAUCAAACCAACCCAUUUCCCCCAAAUCGUCUUCUCUCUUCGCCAUUUUCCCCCAAAUUGGACCCAAGCUGCCAACCCAUUUCCUCCCUCCCAAAGCACCAAAAUGAUGCAAAACGGAGAUUUUAUAACAAUGCAUAACCAAUGAAAUAACACAAUUGCAGAGGUAGAUAUUAGGCGGAAAUUAGAGAUAGGAGGCAAAAUAUGAAGCCCUUCCACGACUGUCGACGACGUCGGGUGUUUCUUCCAUAUUUUCCACUCGGAACCAGGUCAUUACAGACGACGAUAAGAAUUUAUGGUUGGAUUUUAUUUUAUUUUGGUAUUCUUGCUGCUACUUUUCCCAUUCUCAUAUCCUAUUGUUUCUGAUCUUUUGAUCGAUAGCCAAUAGAAACUUCAUCAGAACAGAUGAUCUCUAUUUGGAGAUAUGUAGUGGUAGGUACAGUGAUUGCUGUUGCUAUACUGACAUCAUCAACAGAUCCUCUUACUCAACUGCUGCAGGCUGGACCCCUUAUGGGUCUUUAUUUGGGGUGGAGCAUGGAUGGUAAAGCUUCUUGGACAAUGAUUUACUUUACAAAAGUCGACGGGGUAUCCAAAUUUUAUAUGUUGUAGGCAGUUUACCAAGUUUCCAAGGAAACCCACUUUCAAGAAAUGCCCAUAUAAAUUAUCAGACUGAACUUAGUUUCUUUCUUCCCGCACAUGAUUAUCUAUCCUUUGGUGGUAAUAUGUUUUAAAUGUUUGCUAGUAUGAGCUCCGAUGAUUUGCCUUAUAGUAGUUUGGUUACAAAGGAUCCGUAGUAGGGUUUGGGAAGAUUUUGUACUAUUGCUUGAAGAGAGAACGGGAUUUAAUGAUGUUGGUGACCGAGUGGAAGAAACUUGUUCCUUACGUUUAAUGUUCUAUACUGUAGUACCUUGUGACCAUGUCUCCAUUGACGGGAAAUACAUCAAAAUAGUCU